GACGUACGCUGGCGGCGUGCUUAACACAUGCAAGUCGAACGGAAAGGCCCUGCUUUUGUGGGGUGCUCGAGUGGCGAACGGGUGAGUAACACGUGAGUAACCUGCCCUUGACUUUGGGAUAACUUCAGGAAACUGGGGCUAAUACCGGAUAGGAGCUCCUGCUGCAUGGUGGGGGUUGGAAAGGUUCGGCGGUUGGGGAUGGACUCGCGGCUUAUCAGCGUGUUGGUGGGGUAGUGGCUUACCAAGGCUUUGACGGGUAGCCGGCCUGAGCGGGUGACCGGCCACAUUGGGACUGAGAUACGGCCCAGACUCCUACGGGAGGCAGCAGUGGGGAAUAUUGCACAAUGGGCGGAAGCCUGAUGCAGCAACGCCGCGUGCGGGAUGACGGCCUUCGGGUUGUAAACCGCUUUCGCCUGUGACGAAGCGUGAGUGACGGUAAUGGGUAAAGAAGCACCGGCUAACUACGUG
rnacentral:rRNA from 1 species